rnacentral:lncRNA from 1 species
GGCGUGGCCCGGGCGGGGGGCUGUCUGACCCCAGCCCGAAGUCUGCUGGGCCCGGGGCUGCGGGGCGGAACUGCAUUCCCGGCGGCCGCGAGCCAGCUGCCGGCCCUCUCUUUGUGCCCGCGGUCCACGCCAGGGUCCGGCCUGCCCGAGGCCGCUCGGCGAGGCUGCUUUCCUCUCGGAUCCCCAGCCGCGGUUCCCAGUCUGGCCCACCCGUGCAGAGUGCUCCCGCCUGCCCUUUCAAAAGGCAGAGAAUUUAUACAAGUAGAGUCGUCAGAGCAAAACUUUUGCAUGAUAAAGGGAAUGUCAAUAAAACGCUGGGGGUGUUGUGUUGGGGGUAAGUCUGGAAAAGUUUGUCACUGUGGAAGCGCCUCUACUGAGUCUCGUCAGAAUCACACAUGACUGCCCAUUUCCCGGUUUGGGAGAAGAGACCUGCCUCCCCUUCCGAAAUGAACCGGAAGACUCGAGACCCGAAAGCAUCGCGCGCUCUAACCCGCUCCGUACCUGGCGGCGGGCACUCAGGGGUAUGUGCCUUCAGGGCACAGUUUGGGAAGGCUGGUGCUGGGCACAGGGGGCUGGCAGAAAGUGCGCCAGGUGGCAGGCAGGGAAGGGGUAGGGGGCAGGGGAAGAAGCUCUGCCUUGACGCCCACGAAGCCUUGGCAGAGGUCGCUCCUUCGUCCUACACAAUGCCAGCGGGCACCGUGCAGGGCGCCAGGUGUACGGAGGCGAAGCAAGAGGUCGGUCUGUGUGCUCGCGGAGCUGGGGACUCCAGCUCGUGGAGGACUCCAAAAAGUGCCUGUAAUGUCAAACUUGAGAAUUUUAUAUAA